GGCCGACCCUUAAAAGCCGCGUCUCGGAAGCGUUUCGCUCUUUCCCUCGGCGGUCCCCGGCUGAGUACGGGCUGGAGGCAGCUCGCUCGGAUCUCACCUGGUAUCUGUGCCUGGGCUGGGACAGAGCCUUGAGAUGCUGGAACCAUUCAGACAUGAGCCUGGCAUUGUUCACUCGGUUUCCCCACAGGGUGAGGAGCUGGUGCCUCUGUCCUGGAGACUGCGGCGGAGUCCGGCAGGGCCGGUCUGCAGGCGCCCUUCAGAACCCGGACAGUUGCUGAGAUCUCUCGCCUGCUGGAUGGAAUGAAGUGGGCACACAGCAGCUGUUGUGCAAGGAAUCUCUUGCUAAGUGGAAGAGGCUGAUGCUGCCAAGGGGAACUAAUGGACUGGCCAGUCAGUUUUGCCACCUAGCGGAACAUGAUGGUGUCUCCCAAGGGGCUGGAACUCGGGAAAGACCCAUGGAUGGGCAAAAUGCAAGUGGAACAGAGCUGAGAAACUUGAGCUGGGACUGGACUGUCCCCUUCAACUUUCAGACCCUCUUAAAAGCAGUGUUUCUGCUUCCUACAGAGAACAUUGUCCUGCAUAGGGAAGAGGAGUUUUCUUACCUCCGUCUGUCUGUCCUUAGGCUGCAAGCUCUGCAGGGCAGGGCCCAUCCCUUCUCGUGCGUAUGAAAAUCGCCUAGCGCUACUCUCACAUCAUGGGAAAUUGUUUACAGGUUCAACUGCAUCUGUAUAAGUACACAACACAAGGACUGUCCUUUCCAGAGCUUGUGUUCUUAGUAAAAACUCACCUGUGUAGGGAAUCUGGAAAUAAAACAUCAGGAAAUAAUAAAUGCAGCAAAGAAA